rfam:Canis lupus familiaris chromosome 1, whole genome shotgun sequence.
ACCUAGCUGGCUCAGUCCAUAGAGCAUGUAACUCUUGAUCUCAGGAUCAUGAGUUCAAGCCCCAUGUUGGGUG